rnacentral:rRNA from 1 species
GAUCCUGGCUUAGGAUGAACGCUAGCGGCAGGCUUAACACAUGCAAGUCGAGGGGCAUCGUGGAGUAGCAAUACUCUGACGGCGACCGGCGAAAGGGUGAGUAACGCGUGAGCAACAUGCCCGAUAGUGGAGGAUAGUCGAUGGAAACGUCGCGUAAUACUCCGUAACAUAAGGGACCGCAUGAUCCUUUAUUAAUAGAUUUAUCGCUAUCGGAUUGGCUCGCGUACCAUUAGCUAGUUGGCGGGUAACGGCCCACCAAGGCGACGAUGGUUAGGGGUUCUGAGAGGAAGGUCCCCACAUUGGAACUGAGACACGGUCCAGACUCCUACGGGAGGCAGCAGUGAGGAAUAUUGGACAAUGGCCGGAAGGCUGAUCCAGCCAUGCCGCGUGCCGGGAAGACGGCCCUAUGGGUUGUAAACCGCUUUUGUUGGGGAGCAAUAAGUCCUACGUGUAGGAUGAUGAGAGUACCCAGCGAAUAAGCAUCGGCUAACUCCGUGCCAGCAGCGGC